ACACGUGGUAUCCUGUCUGAAUAUGGGGGGACCAUCCUCCAAGGCUAAAUACUCCUGACUGACCGAUAGUGAACCAGUACCGUGAGGGAAAGGCGAAAAGAACCCCGGCGAGGGGAGUGAAAAAGAACCUGAAACCGUGUACGUACAAGCAGUGGGAGCACGCUUAGGCGUGUGACUGCGUACCUUUUGUAUAAUGGGUCAGCGACUUAUAUUCUGUAGCAAGGUUAACCGAAUAGGGGAGCCGAAGGGAAACCGAGUCUUAACUGGGCGUUAAGUUGCAGGGUAUAGACCCGAAACCCGGUGAUCUAGCCAUGGGCAGGUUGAAGGUUGGGUAACACUAACUGGAGGACCGAACCGACUAAUGUUGAAAAAUUAGCGGAUGACUUGUGGCUGGGGGUGAAAGGCCAAUCAAACCGGGAGAUAGCUGGUUCUCCCCGAAAGCUAUUUAGGUAGCGCCUCGUGAAUUCAUCUCCGGGGGUAGAGCACUGUUUCGGCAAGGGGGUCAUCCCGACUUACCAACCCGAUGCAAACUGCGAAUACCGGAGAAUGUUAUCACGGGAGACACACGGCGGGUGCUAACGUCCGUCGUGAAGAGGGAAACAACCCAGACCGCCAGCUAAGGUCCCAAAGUCAUGGUUAAGUGGGAAACGAUGUGGGAAGGCCCAGACAGCCAGGAUGUUGGCUUAGAAGCAGCCAUCAUUUAAAGAAAGCGUAAUAGCUCACUGGUCGAGUCGGCCUGCGCGGAAGAUGUAACGGGGCUAAACCAUGCACCGAAGCUGCGGCAGCGACACUAUGUGUUGUUGGGUAGGGGAGCGUUCUGUAAGCCUGUGAAGGUGUGCUGUGAGGCAUGCUGGAGGUAUCAGAAGUGCGAAUGCUGACAUAAGUAACGAUAAAGCGGGUGAAAAGCCCGCUCGCCGGAAGACCAAGGGUUCCUGUCCAACGUUAAUCGGGGCAGGGUGAGUCGACCCCUAAGGCGAGGCCGAAAGGCGUAGUCGAUGGGAAACAGGUUAAUAUUCCUGUACUUGGUGUUACUGCGAAGGGGGGACGGAGAAGGCUAUGUUGGCCGGGCGACGGUUGUCCCGGUUUAAGCGUGUAGGCUGGUUUUCCAGGCAAAUCCGGAAAAUCAAGGCUGAGGCGUGAUGACGAGGCACUACGGUGCUGAAGCAACAAAUGCCCUGCUUCCAGGAAAAGCCUCUAAGCAUCAGGUAACAUCAAAUCGUACCCCAAACCGACACAGGUGGUCAGGUAGAGAAUACCAAGGCGCUUGAGAGAACUCGGGUGAAGGAACUAGGCAAAAUGGUGCCGUAACUUCGGGAGAAGGCACGCUGAUAUGUAGGUGAAGUCCCUCGCGGAUGGAGCUGAAAUCAGUCGAAGAUACCAGCUGGCUGCAACUGUUUAUUAAAAACACAGCACUGUGCAAACACGAAAGUGGACGUAUACGGUGUGACGCCUGCCCGGUGCCGGAAGGUUAAUUGAUGGGGUUAGCCGCAAGGCGAAGCUCUUGAUCGAAGCCCCGGUAAACGGCGGCCGUAACUAUAACGGUCCUAAGGUAGCGAAAUUCCUUGUCGGGUAAGUUCCGACCUGCACGAAUGGCGUAAUGAUGGCCAGGCUGUCUCCACCCGAGACUCAGUGAAAUUGAACUCGCUGUGAAGAUGCAGUGUACCCGCGGCAAGACGGAAAGACCCCGUGAACCUUUACUAUAGCUUGACACUGAACAUUGAGCCUUGAUGUGUAGGAUAGGUGGGAGGCUUAGAAGUGUGGACGCCAGUCUGCAUGGAGCCGACCUUGAAAUACCACCCUUUAAUGUUUGAUGUUCUAACGUUGACCCGUAAUCCGGGUUGCGGACAGUGUCUGGUGGGUAGUUUGACUGGGGCGGUCUCCUCCUAAAGAGUAACGGAGGAGCACGAAGGUUGGCUAAUCCUGGUCGGACAUCAGGAGGUUAGUGCAAUGGCAUAAGCCAGCUUGACUGCGAGCGUGACGGCGCGAGCAGGUGCGAAAGCAGGUCAUAGUGAUCCGGUGGUUCUGAAUGGAAGGGCCAUCGCUCAACGGAUAAAAGGUACUCCGGGGAUAACAGGCUGAUACCGCCCAAGAGUUCAUAUCGACGGCGGUGUUUGGCACCUCGAUGUCGGCUCAUCACAUCCUGGGGCUGAAGUAGGUCCCAAGGGUAUGGCUGUUCGCCAUUUAAAGUGGUACGCGAGCUGGGUUUAGAACGUCGUGAGACAGUUCGGUCCCUAUCUGCCGUGGGCGCUGGAGAACUGAGGGGGGCUGCUCCUAGUACGAGAGGACCGGAGUGGACGCAUCACUGGUGUUCGGGUUGUCAUGCCAAUGGCACUGCCCGGUAGCUAAAUGCGGAAGAGAUAAGUGCUGAAAGCAUCUAAGCACGAAACUUGCCCCGAGAUGAGUUCUCCCUGACUCCUUGAGAGUCCUGAAGGAACGUUGAAGACGACGACGUUGAUAGGCCGGGUGUGUAAGCGCAGCGAUGCGUUGAGCUAAC
rnacentral:rRNA from 1 species